rnacentral:rRNA from 1 species
UACAGAGGUCUCGAGCGUUAGGCGGAAUCACUGGGCUUAAAGCGUGUGUAGGCGGAUGCCUAAGUACCUUGUGAAAUCCCACGGCUCAACCGUGGAACUGCUUGGUAUACUGGGUGUCUUGAGCCACUUAGGGGCUACCGGAACAAAUGGUGGAGCGGUGAAAUGCGUAGAUAUCUGGAGGAACACCGGUGGCGAAGGCGGCAUCCUGGACCGGCAUUGACGCUGAGGCUCGAAAGCAUGGGGAGCAAACAGG